rnacentral:rRNA from 1 species
CCUACGGGAGGCAGCAGUGAGGAAUAUUGGUCAAUGGACGAGAGUCUGAACCAGCCAAGUAGCGUGAAGGAUGACUGCCCUAUGGGUUGUAAACUUCUUUUAUAAAGGAAUAAAACGCGGCACGUGUGCCUUUUUGCAUGUACUUUAUGAAUAAGGAUCGGCUAACUCCGUGCCAGCAGCCGCGGUAAUACGGAGGAUCCGAGCGUUAUCCGGAUUUAUUGGGUUUAAAGGGAGCGUAGAGGGGUUGUUAAGUCUGUUGUGAAAUUUUGCGGCUCAACCGUAAAAUUGCAAUUGGUACUGGCAGUCUUGAGUACAGUGGAGGUAGGCGGAAUUCGUGGUGUAGCGGUGAAAUGCUUAGAUAUGACGAAGAACCCCGAUUGCGAAGGCAGCUUACUAAAGUGUGACUGACAUUGAUGCUCGAAAGUGUGGGUAUCAAACAGGAUUAGAUACCCGGGUAGUC